ACGGGAGGCAGCAGUGGGGAAUCUUAGACAAUGGGGGCAACCCUGAUCUAGCCAUGCCGCGUGAGUGAUGAAGGCCUUAGGGUCGUAAAGCUCUUUCGCCUGUGAUGAUAAUGACAGUAGCAGGUAAAGAAACCCCGGCUAACUCCGUGCCAGCAGCCGCGGUAAUACGGAGGGGGUUAGCGUUGUUCGGAAUUACUGGGCGUAAAGCGCACGUAGGCGGAUUGGAAAGUUGGGGGUGAAAUCCCGGGGCUCAACCCCGGAACUGCCUCCAAAACUAUCAGUCUAGAGUUCGAGAGAGGUGAGUGGAAUUCCAAGUGUAGAGGUGAAAUUCGUAGAUAUUUGGAGGAACACCAGUGGCGAAGGCGGCUCACUGGCUCGAUACUGACGCUGAGGUGCGAAAGUGUGGGGAGCAAACAGGAUUAGAUACCCUGGUAGUCCACACCGUAAACGAUGAAUGCCAGUCGUCGGGCAGUAUACUGUUCGGUGACACACCUAACGGAUUAAGCAUUCCGCCUGGGGAGUACGGUCGCAAGAUUAAAACUCAAAGGAAUUGACGG
rnacentral:rRNA from 1 species